UGUGAUCUCAUUGUUCAAUUCCCACCUAUGAGUGAGAAUAUGCGAUGUUUGGUUUUCUGUUCUUACGAUAGUUUACUGGGAAUGAUGUUUUCCAAUUUCAUCCAUGUCCCUACAAAGGACAUGAUGGCAAAUUUUAGCCAUCUCAGUCUCAGCCCAUUUCUGAGCCCUUGGUGGAGAGGUGUUGUGGUCAUUUGGAGGAAAAGGGGCACUCUGGGUUUUUGAGUUUUCAGGGUUUUUUUGUGCUAAUUCUUUCUUUUCUUUUUUUUUUUUUUAAGAAUUAAAAGAGGCAACAUGAAUUUCUUUUUUUUUUCAAAAUUGAAACUGAUGAAUAUCAACAUCACUUAGUAAAGUUCAGGAGAAAAAAAUCAAGUUAGAUAUGCAAAAAUGUGAUACGAAUGUGAUAGGAGAUGUUAUUCUCUGAAGCUUAAUUUCAUCUGAAAGAAAUGUAAGAGAAAAUAAAAAGCAUUGUCAAAUUCUUUCUUAUCUUUGUGGGUUUAUCUAGCUUUAAGCUUUGAGGUUGCUGACCUUUAGAUGGGGGUUUUGGUUUUGUUGUGGUUGUUGUUUGCUGUUUGAUUUUUUUUUUUUUUAAACACUCUGGCCACUCUUCUGUAGGGCUGCUGCAGUUUGCUGGGUGUCUGCUCCAGAUUGUAGUCACCUGGGUUUUUCCCAUACUUGGAAUUAUCACCCUUGAAAACUGCAAAACAGCACAGAUGGCAUCUUGCUUCUUCCUCUGGAAACUUUGUCCCAGGAGGGUACUAAACUUGUUACUGGCUUGAAUGUAUAUGUAGGAGGUGGCUGGUUACACUGCUUGGGAAAAUCUCAUGCAGUUGAGGGGAAUAGGAUCAGGGACAUACUUAAGCAAUCUAACUGCUUUUUGGUGGAGCAGCUGUGCUGUAUUGGAAAUCCCUUCAGCCCCUGAUCCAUUAAGGCUCUCCAAGGCCCACAGGCUGGACCAGCUGAGAUGCCUGAACAGUCAUGGUGGCAGCAUGCCCUACCCCAUGGGUACUUAGACUCAGGGAGAAAUUAGAACUCUGUCAGCUGUAGAACAGAGGCAGGUAUGGCUGGAGGCCCUGGCUGGGAGGACCCACCCCACAAGGAGCAGUGGAUUGGGGUCCUGCUUAAAGAAGCAGUCUGGCUACAUUCUGGGAAAGCAGCUGUGCUGUGCUGGGGGCACCCUACCUCAUCCCGACCAUUUGGACUCUCCAAAGCCCACAGACCGAAACAGCCGAGUUGACCAAACAGCAUAGAUAGUAGCUUGGCCCUUUCCUGGGGUCUCUGUCCUGUCUCAGGCAGGCUCCACCUUGUUUCUUGUGGCUGGCUAGAAUUCCAAGCCAGUGGGUCCUAUCUUGUGAGUUGCCAUGUAAGUGGGGCCUGCAGAUUGUUGCUGCUCAGCCCCCAGGAUUUAGCCCCCUUCCUAGGGUUAUGCACAGACCUUCUGCCUUGCCUGAGCUGCAGAUGUCCUUGCCAGGGAUCCCGAGGCCAGAAUAUGUAAAGCUCCUGGGUCUCUGUACAUGUUUGAGCAGCUGCUCUGUGGAGACUCCACACAGCUGUGUGCAUCAGAUCCAAGGCGCUGGAGACACGGGCCUAUAAGGGGACCUCCUGAUCCACAGAUUGCAAAGAUCCACGGGAGAAGUGUGGUUUCCCGGGGGCAUGCAAUCACUCACUGCUUCCCUCCACCGGGGGUGCGGGUUCCCUUGGCUCUGUGUUGCUCCAGGGUGGACCGUUUCUCCACCCUACUUUUCUUUUUCUUUUUCUUUCCUAUUUUUGGCUGAGUUGUAUUCAGUGGUGUAUAUACAUAUAUAUAAACAUUUUCUUUAUCGACCCGAUUGAUGGGCAUUGGCUGGUUUCUUUCUUUCUUUUUUUUUUUUUUUGGGACGGAGUCUCCCUCUGUCGCCUGGGCUGGAGUGCAGUGGCGCAAUCUCGGCUCACUGCAAGCUCCGCCUCCCAGGUUCACGCCAUUCUCCUGCCUCAGCCUUCCGAGUAGCUGGGACUACAGGCGCCCGCCACCACGCCCGGCUAAUUUUUUCUAUUUUUUAGUAGAGAUGGGGCUUCAUCGUGUUAGCAAGGAUGGUCUUGAUCUCCUGACCUCGUGAUCCGCCCGCCUCGGCCUCCCAAAGUGCUGGGAUUAGAGGCGUGGGCCACCGCGCCCGGCCCAUCCUGCUUUUCUUCAUUCUCCAUGGGUCAGGUUGUUUUCCUACAUAGUCUCAAUGCAAAACAAGAAUGAUAAUAGGCAUGUCUCAAGGUUGCUGUGUGGACCAGCUAAAGCCCUAUGUAAGAAAGCACUUCACAUACAGAAGAGGAUUGAUGCAUUUGGGAGACCCAGAAAUGUGGAUUCCAUCUUUCUAUGAGCCCAAGGAUGAAGGAGAACAAAAGAUCAAUAGCAGAAAAACGCAGCUGGACCGCAGAUGGUGCAGCCUGACCUCUGCUCUGCCUCUCCCUUUGUCUUUAAUUUUCAGAAUUAAAAUGAUUUAUCUUGGUGUGGAUUUCUUUGGGUUUCUCCUAUUUGUGGUUCCCUCAGCUUCUUGAAUCUAUAUAUUUAUGUCUUUUGCCAAACUGGAAAGGUUUCAGCCACUAUAACUUUGAAUAACUUUGAGUUAUUUUUUUUCAAGGACUCAGAUAAUAUAAAUUUAGAUCUAUUUGGAAAAUAGAUUAGAUUUUCUCCUUUUCAGAUUUACUCAUUGUAGCAAAUAGCAAAUUGCUUUAUCUCUCAGUUCAUUAUCUCUUUCCUCUGUCCCCUUUAUUCUGCCAUGGAGCCCAUCCACUGAGAUUUUUAUUUCAGCUACAGUAUUAUAUAUUUUUGUUCUAAGAUUCCCGUUUGGUUCUUCUUCUUUACAUAUUUUAUAUU
rnacentral:lncRNA from 10 species